rnacentral:rRNA from 1 species
AACGAACGCUGGCGGCAUGCCUAAUACAUGCAAGUCGAACGCUCGUAGCAAUACGGGAGUGGCGGACGGGGGAGUAACGCGUGGGAACCUGCCCAGCGGUAGGGAAUAACCGCGGGAAACUGCGGCUAAUACCCUAUGAGCCCUACGGGGGAAAGAUUUAUCGCCAUUGGAGGGGCCCGCGUCGGAUUAGCUAGUUGGUGGGGUAACGGCCCACCAAGGCGACGAUCCGUGGCUGGUCUGAGAGGAUAAUCAGCCACACUGGGACUGAGAUACGGCCCAGACUCCUACGGGAGGCAGCAGUAGGGAAUAUUGGACAAUGGGCGAAAGCCUGAUGCAGCAAUGCCGCGUGAGUGAAGAAGGCCUUAGGGUUGUAAAGCUCUUUCGGCGGGGAAGAUGAUGACGGUACCCGCAGAAGAAGCCCCGGCUAACUUCGUGCCAGCCGCCGCAGUAAUAC